rnacentral:rRNA from 1 species
GACGAACGCUGGCGGCGUGCUUAACACAUGCAAGUCGAACGGAAAGGCCCUGCUUUUGUUGGGUGCUCGAGUGGCGAACGGGUGAGUAACACGUGAGUAACCUGCCCUUGACUUUGGGAUAACUUCAGGAAACUGGGGCUAAUACCGGAUAGGAGCUCCUGCUGCAUGGGGGGGGUUGGAAAGUGUCGGCGGUUGGGGAUGGACUCGCGGCUUAUCAGCUUGUUGGUGGGGUAGGGGCUUACCAAGGCUUUGACGGGUAGCCGGCCUGGGAGGGUGACCGGCCACAUUGGGACUGAGAUACGGCCCAGACUCCUACGGGAGGCAGCAGUGGGGAAUAUUGCACAAUGGGCGGAAGCCUGAUGCAGCAACGCCGCGUGCGGGAUGACGGCCUUCGGGUUGUAAACCGCUUUCGCCUGUGACGAAGCGUGAGUGACGGUAAUGGGUAAAGAAGCACCGGCUAACUACGUG